rnacentral:pre_miRNA from 8 species
GUUGCAGUUGUGUUAGAGUUUCAGCAGUGCUAAAGUGCUUAUAGUGCAGGUAGUAUUUCUGUCAUCUACUGCAGUGUGAGCACUUGAAGUACUUCUAGCUUAAUGCGUCUGGGAUCCGAA